UACGAAGGGUGCAAGCGUUACUCGGAAUUACUGGGCGUAAAGGGUGCGUAGGUGGUUUUUUAAGUCCGUUGUGAAAUCCCUGGGCUCAACCUGGGAAUGGCAGUGGAUACUGGAAAGCUAGAGUGCGGUAGAGGGUAGUGGAAUUCCCGGUGUAGCAGUGAAAUGCGUAGAGAUCGGGAGGAACACCUGUGGCGAAGGCGGCCCCCUGGGCCGGCCCUGACACUGAGACGCGAAGGCGUGGGGAGCGAACGGG
rnacentral:rRNA from 1 species